CACUCUGGAGAGUCUCCGCUAUGGAGCGCCGAAGGUGUACAGCGUAUUUUACGCUUAUCUCUCAGGCAAAAGGACAGGGGCGC
rnacentral:ncRNA from 1 species